GGAUACCCGAGGGAAACUUCGGUUAAUACGGUAUAAGACCACACUACCGCAUGGUAGAGGGGUAAAAGGGGCAACCUGGUAUGAGAUGGACUCGCGUCGCAUUAGCUAGUUGGUGAGGUAACGGCCCACCAAGGCGACGAUGCGUAGCCGACCUGAGAGGGUGAUCGGCCACAUUGGGACUGAGAUACGGCCCAGACUCCUACGGGAGGCAGCAGUGGGGAAUAUUGGGCAAUGGAGGAAACUCUGACCCAGCAAUGCCGCGUGAAUGAAGAAGGUCUUCGGAUUGUAAAGUUCUUUAGUCAGGGAAGAAGUCAAUGACGGUACCUGAAGAAUAAGCUCCGGCUAACUACGUGCCAGCAGCCGCGGUAAUACGUAGGGAGCAAGCGUUGUUCGGAAUGACUGGGCGUAAAGGGUGCGUAGGCGGUUGUACAAGUUAGAAGUGAAAACCCAGGGCUUAACUCGGGUGCUGCUUCUAAAACUGUAUGACUUGAGUGCAGUAGAGGUUAGUGGAAUUCCUAGUGUAGCGGUGGAAUGCGUAGAUAUUAGGAGGAACACCAGAGGCGAAGGCGGCUAACUGGACUGCAACUGACGCUGAGGCACGAAAGUGUGGGGAGCAAACAGGAUUAGAUACCCUGGUAGUCCACACUGUAAACGAUGGAUAAUAGAUGUAGGAGGUAUCGACUCCUUCUGCGUCGCAG
rnacentral:rRNA from 1 species